rnacentral:rRNA from 1 species
GAUGAACGCUGGCGGCGUGCCUAAUACAUGCAAGUAGAACGCUGAAGCUUGGUGCUUGCACCGAGCGGAUGAGUUGCGAACGGGUGAGUAACGCGUAGGUAACCUGCCUCUUAGCGGGGGAUAACUAUUGGAAACGAUAGCUAAUACCGCAUAAAAGUCGAUAUCGCAUGAUAUUGAUUUGAAAGGUGCAAAUGCAUCACUAAGAGAUGGACCUGCGUUGUAUUAGCUAGUUGGUGAGGUAACGGCUCACCAAGGCGACGAUACAUAGCCGACCUGAGAGGGUGAUCGGCCACACUGGGACUGAGACACGGCCCAGACUCCUACGGGAGGCAGCAGUAGGGAAUCUUCGGCAAUGGGGGCAACCCUGACCGAGCAACGCCGCGUGAGUGAAGAAGGGUGUCGGAUCGUAAAGCUCUGUUGUAAGAGAAGAACGAGUGUGAGAGUGGAAAGUUCACACUGUGACGGUAACUUAACAGAAAGGGACGGCUAACUACGUG